AUUGAACGCUGGCGGCAGGCCUAACACAUGCAAGUCGAGCGGAGCGGCGGACGGGUGAGUAAUGCCUAGGAAUCUGCCUGGUAGUGGGGGAUAACGUCCGGAAACGGGCGCUAAUACCGCAUACUAUCGGAUGAGCCUAGGUCGGAUUCGCUAGGUGGUGGGGUAAAGGCAUACCAGGGCGACGAUCCGUAACUGGUCUGAGAGGAUGACCAGUCACACUGGAACUUAGACACUGUCCAGACUCCUACUUGAGGCAGCAGUGGGGAAUAUUGGACAAUGGGCGAAAGCCUUCUCCAGCCAUGCCGCGUUGUUGAAGAAGGUCUUCUGAUUGUAAAGCACUUUAAGUUGUGAGGCGUUACCAACAGAAUAAGCACCGGCUAACUUCGUGCCAGCAGCCGCGGUAAUAC
rnacentral:rRNA from 1 species